rnacentral:rRNA from 1 species
GAUGAACGCUGGCGGCGUGGAUAAGACAUGCAAGUCGAACGGGGCAAUGCUAGUAGCAAUAUGAGUGUUGUUCAGUGGCGAACGGGUGCGUAACACGUGGAUACAUUCCGGAAAGCGGGGGAUAGCCCAGGGAAACUUGGAUUAAUACCGCAUGUGGUCGAAAGACUAAAGGUGGGGACCGCAAGGCCUGCCACUUUCCGAUUGGUCCGCGGCCUAUCAGCUAGUUGGCGGGGUAAAGGCCCACCAAGGCUACGACGGGUAGCUGGUCUUAGGGGACGACCAGCCACACUGGAACUGAGACACGGGCCAGACACCGACGGGUGGCAGCAGUCGAGAAUCUUUCACAAUGGGGGCAACCCUGAUGGAGCGACGCCGCGUGGAGGAUAAGGUCUUCGGAUUGUAAACUCCUGUCAUGCGCGAACAAGGUUGCUGGGUUAAUAACCCGGCAAAUUGAUGGUACCGCAAGAGGAAGAGACGGCUAACUCUGUGCCAGCCGCCGCUGUAAAAC